GCCUCCUCUCUCUGACCAUAUUGUCUCCUGGGCAAGAAGGUUACACAGCAUCCCCUUCCACACUGUGAACUUCUUGCAGUGAGUCCGCUCAGGCGGGGCUCCUAGGGAAGCCAGAGGGCCCUAUACCCCAACUCCACAGUCAGAAAUGACUCUCAGCCAACAUAAAACAGAAGGAUUAUUAGUCGACAGGAACAAAGCAUAGAACAAAACUUGUUUGCGCAGAAAUCAGUGACUUUCACCCAAGUCCAUCUUGGGGAGUCCUGGGCCAGGCGGCCUGGGCUCUCUCCCCUGAGCGACAAUUUUUGGAGGGGUCUUUUCUGUCCCCUUUACCUCUCCAGCUAAGACUAUGGAACCUCCUGGGAAAGAUAAUGAAGAGCCUGAACUAACAUUUGUUCAUCGAAAGGACGAUAUCACAGGGUCACUUGAGGUUUCACUGCCCUGCUGAUGUUAAUGGGGAGAAAUGUGGGAAGGAAUGGUCCUAUCCGGAAGUCCGUCGGAAUGCUUCACUCACUGAAAAAGAGCAACAGAACUUUGAAGAAAAACUUGCAAAGUUUGCAGCUAAAUAUUACCAUGACUUCAAAGAGUGUCCCAACUGCAAAAGCUUUGUGGAACGCCGUGAUCUGAAAAACCUGAGGGUGGUCUGUAUCCUCUGCCAUUCGCUGAAGGGGGACGUCUUUGAGUUCUGCUGGCAGUGCCUGAAGCCCUGGAAAGGUGCUGGAGCACCCUCUGAGAGGUGUGAAAAUGAGGGAUGCAAGAACCAGUCCCUGGAAGUCUUAGCAAACUGCAAGCUGAAGGAUCUUCCACGAAGUGAAAUAAAAAACUGUCCCUCCGUCCGUGCUUGUCCCACCUGUGGGAGACUCAUUGAGCACAUAGAAAAGUGCGAAUAUAUUGUAUGUCCACAAUGUCAAGUUGAAUUUUGUUUCGCUUGCCUUGAAAUUGCUCGUAACUGCCGAGCCAGCAAAGGUGGUGCCUAUUUUAAAUACUGUGCAAAGCCACUAGCUCCAAAACAAACACAAAUUCCGGUAUGGGCUCAGAAAUAAGCAACAUUGUUCCAGCCACACAGGCCAGGGAGAUUGGGAAAAUGCCCCAGGGUCAGUACCCAGCUCCACGCAGUACUCCCGAAUGCUACGUUAUCCCUCCUGUCAAAUUAAGCUUGAUGGACAGAUAAGAGAUUGAUAGAGAGUCAGGACAAGCCCAUCCCCUCCAAUGACAUUUUUUCCAGGAAGGAUAGUGUGUGUUGGGGGGGGGAUAUUAUAGGUCUGCUACACCUGAUAUUUAAGCCAUAUGUGAAAAAAGAAAAACGCUUGUAAUCUAAAAUUUAUAUGCCAUUUUUGUAGCUUGUUUAUGAUACUGGAGAACCCAUGUAAUUAACAGAUACUUAGAUUUUGCUGGUUCAUAAAUUCAUAAUCAUAAUUAUAUUUCCCCUCUCUACAAGGUGGCUAAGACUGAACCAAACUUGAACAAAACCAAAUACAAAUGUUUUUGUUUUCAUAGGCUUAGGAUAAAGAGGCUCGAUCUUGGCUUUUAAAGUAUUUUGUCUAACUGAAUGAAAAACCACUCUUUCUGUGCAGUCCUCCAACCUUCCCCACAGGGACAGGGGCUUGUGAAACAUGUCCAGCUUUUCACACACAGUACUGCAAUCUAACACGCACAACCUGGGGAGUCCCUCUUGAACCCAGUAUUAAUCAAUCUUACUCUUUUCAUGGCUAAGAAAGUUCAGGUUUGCCAUUCAUUGGGAAUAGCGGGGGCUGGUUAAGACAAACCAAACAUACCAAAUUUCUAAAUAUAACCCAUUGUGAAGCUGUGAAUAAAUUGGUCUAUGUAAAAUGUGUUAUGCUGGCCUCACUGUGGAAGUAAAUUUAUGGGUCUUCUUUAUUCCAGUACAGCAAUAUUCUCUGUUCAGUGUUAGAAGAACGUGGUUCUUAGAUAUCCACUACUGUCACAUUAUAGUAGACUCUUCAUAGUUAAGACUGUAGUUAGCAUUUCCCUGCAAGACGGAUUUUGGUUUGCUUUGAAACGCCAAAAAAAAAAUUUCUUGCUCUCAGAGGUUUAGCAUUAAAGCUCAUUGACAAAUUAAUUGACUCCUGUUCUGAAAAUGUUGAAUAAAUUGAAUUAGAUCUUUGAGAUUUUAAAAUGACACUUCUAGGAAGUUUUGGUGAAAUGUAAUGUUUGUGCCCGUCUACUAGCAGAAUGCUAUCUGCUCACAGUAUGCUUGAAAUUGUGUGAGGCAAGAGGAUAUGACUAGAACUGGUCAGAUUUUUUUCUUCCUGUGCAAAAUUUCACCACCACAAAAAAAUUCAUUUUUUGUCAAUGUUUUCUGCUAAACAUUUCAUUUUGUGAAAAACUGAAAAAUUAAACUUUUGAGGUUUGGGCUGAGAAUUUUUUGGUUUUCAGUGAAUAAGUUUGUAAUUUUCCACAGAAAGCAGACACAUUCCAUGGAAAACUCGGGUUAGUUGAAAACCCAAUUUUCUGUCAAAAAACAGUUUUGACUGAGAUUUUUUGACCAUUCCUAGAUAACUCCAAGCCUGCUCACCAUUGCUUUUGGUCCAUGUACAGCACUUAGGAACACAGGAAAUACAAGCUAUCUACACGCAGAGAGAUUGGAUUUAGACAAUGAUUCAUGCCACACGGGGAUUCUAAGUGCAGGUCUAGUAAAAUAUUAACGGAACUCUCAUUAUUUGAAAAUUAGAAAUGAUUCGCUACCUCUGUAGUCUACAGUCAAAAGGACGAACAGGAUUUAUUCCCAUAGUCCUAGAGCUGGCAAAGUCUUUCAAGGACAAAAACAAAAGAGAGUGGGGUGAUGCUUUGCUUGUGCAGAGAGCACAAAUCAAUGACAAUCAAAUAUAGAGUCAAUUUUGAUGGAUAGUUUUCUAACAAUUUUAGAGCUUCUAGGGGCAUAUGGAUUGUAUUGUUUAUAGCCAAUAUUAAGUUGCCACUAACUCUUACACUGUAAUGCUCUGUACGCUCCAUCCAAUUUGUUUAGCUCCCCAUUCAGCAAAGGACUUAAGCUCAUGCUUCCUCUUAUUUACAAAUACUUUAAUUCUUCAUUUCUUUGCUUUUAAGACGUCAUAUAUCUUAUAUUGCUCAAAUAUAUAUCAGAUACAGUAUAAUAAAUGUGUGUUUCAGCACAACAUUGUUGUCACUUAGUAUCCUUAACUUUUUUAAAUCGGUUUUGUUUUAAGUAAUACAAUAGUGUCACAUAAUGAUUUUUCUCUCUCUUUUUCCGCCCACAAAUUGUGCCA